rnacentral:rRNA from 1 species
GACGAACGCUGGCGGCGUGCUUAACACAUGCAAGUCGAACGGAAAGGCCCUGCUUUUGUGGGGUGCUCGAGUGGCGAACGGGUGAGUAACACGUGAGUGACCUGCCCUUGACUUUGGGAUAACUUCAGGAAACUGGGGCUAAUACCGGAUAGGAGCUCCUGCUGCAUGGGGGGGGGUGGAGAGUUUCGGCGGGUGGGGAUGGACUCGCGGCUUAUCAGCUUGUUGGGGGGGUAGUGGCUUACCAAGGCUUUGACGGGUAGCCGGCCUGAGAGGGUGACCGGCCACAUUGGGACUGAGAUACGGCCCAGACUCCUACGGGAGGCAGCAGUGGGGAAUAUUGCACAAUGGGCGCAAGCCUGAUGCAGCGACGCCGCGUGCGGGAUGACGGCCUUCGGGUUGUAAACCGCUUUCGCCUGUGACGAAGCGUGAGUGACGGUAACGGGUGAAGAAGCACCGGCUAACUACGUG